AAGAUAUACAAUGCAUCAAGGGGUAUUUCAAAAGGACCAGGUUUUAAACAAUUGACAGGUAAUCUUAAACAAAAUGGUGGUGUUGAAUGUGGAUAUUGUGUGAUGCGGUACAUGAAAGAGAUAGUCUUAGAUGAAUAUCCACAAUUGGAGAGAAAGUUUGCAGCAUCAAAAAACAAACAGUAUUACAAUCAAUCUCAGUAUGAUGAAGUCAGAAGUGAAUGGAGCGAAUUUGUCUAUUUCUAUGUGGG